GACGUAGGAGGCGAGCGUUAUCCGGAUUUAUUGGGCGUAAAGGGCGUGUAGGCGGCCCUUUAAGUCUUUGGUAAAAUCUCCCGACUUAAUUGGGAGGGUGCCAGAGAAACUGGAGAGCUUGAGGACAGCAGAGGGGGGUGGAAUUCCCGGUGUAGUGGUGAUAUGCGUAGAUAUCGGGAGGAACACCAGUGGCGAAGGCGGCCCCCUGGGCUGUUCCUGACGCUGAGGCGCGAAAGCGUGGGGAGCAAACAGGAUUAGAUACCCCCGUA
rnacentral:rRNA from 1 species